rnacentral:rRNA from 1 species
CCUACGGGUGGCAGCAGUAGGGAAUCUUUCUCAAUGGGGGAAACCCUGAUGCAGCAACGCCGCGUGCAGGAUGAAGGCCUUCGGGUUGUAAACUGCUUUUAUCAGAGAGGAUUAUGACGGUAUCUAACGAAUAAGCACCGGCUAACUCCGUGCCAGCAGCCGCGGUCAUACGUAGGGUGCGAGCGUUAUGCGGAAUGACUGGGUGUAAAGAGUGCGGAGUCGGGAAAGCAAAUCAGAUGUGAAAUCCUAGGGCUUAACCAUGGAACUCCAUUUGAAACUGUUAUUCUUGAGUAUGGGAGAGGUAGGUGGAAUUCCUGGUGUAGGGGUGAAAUCCGUAGAGAUCAGGAGGAAUACCGAUAGCGAAGGCGACCUGCUGGAACAGAACUGACGCUGAGGCGCGAAAGCGUGGGGAGCAAACAGGAUUAGAUACCCGUGUAGUC